GGUGUAGUAGCCGGAGCGAAGGGGGAAGGUGGGUAUGAUGGAGGGAUGGUGGAUGGAUAGGGUGAUAGGGAAGGUGGGGAAGGUGGGGAUGAAGAUGAUGGAGGUUGGGUGACAGGGGAAUUGGAAUUUGGAGUUGGGGCAUAGGGGUAGGGUGAUUGAGAUGUUGGGGAAGGAGUGUUUGGAGGUGACGGAAUGUAGGGAGGUUGGGAAAUGGGAGAAGGAGUGGUGGAUGGUGGUGUGGAAAUGUAAGAAGGUGGCUGGGAUAUUGGGGAAGGAGUGGUGGAUGGUGGUGUGGAAAUGUAAGGUGGCUGGGAUAUUGGGGAAGGAGUGGUGUUUGGAGGUGAUGGGAUGUAAGGAGGCUGAGAUAUUGGGGAAGGAGUGUUUGGAGGUGAUGGGGUGUAAGGAGGCUGGGAAGUAGGAGAAGGAGUAUUGGGUUGUGGAGGCACAUAAGGUGACUGAGAAAAGGGUGAUGGGGUUAUUGGAACAAAGGGUGGUUGAUGAUGAGGGGAAGGGGUGUUUGGAGGUAGAGGAGCAUGGGGUGGAUGGUUAUUAGGGGAAGGAGCAUAAGUGGGAGAAGGUGUGUUGGGAGGUAUGGGAGCAUAGGGUGGUUGAGCUUUGGGAGGAAAGGGAAGAUUAGUAGGAGGUGAAGGUGCUUCUGGAGGAGUAUAAACAGGGGGAGGAGUUUGAUGAGGUGGAUAAGGAGCUUUUGGAGGAGAAUAUGGAGGAGGCUCUCUCACAGCCAACACCACAAUAAUAAGUUUCUGACCCUUCUCACAAUUAUAAUCUUUUCCACUGAUGAAAUAAAAGGGACCCGAACGAUCAAACUGAAACUGGGAGGCACCAUCCUCAAACUUCUUGAUCGGGUUCUUCUUGUUACAUUUCUCAUAAUCCUCUUUGUUCACCACCAAAACCGAGUCCGAUCCCUUCUUGUACUUAAAAACUAUGAACAGGAAAAAACAUACAAGUUAAAAGCAUUCAUUCAGAAGGCAGAAAAAAAACUGGAAAGCUUUAGAAUGAAAAUGAACUGACCAAGAGUGUCACUGACUUGGAACCUCAUCCUUUCAGCCCAGUGAUUGUAAUUCUCAGAAGGGUACAAAAGCCACCCAUCUUUUCCACCAACGUUGAAGGUGUAUGCCUGAGACCCCGAGAGGAGACUGAAAAGAAACGACAAGAGACAAAAAACACUAAUCCGAAGCUCCAUGUUGCAGAGAGAGAGAGGAGAGAGAGAAGGAAGAGAGGUGUAGAAAG
rnacentral:lncRNA from 1 species